GAUGAACGCUGGCGGCGUGCCUAAUACAUGCAAGUCGAGCGAACGGACGAGAAGCUUGCUUCUCUGAUGUUAGCGGCGGACGGGUGAGUAACACGUGGAUAACCUACCUAUAAGACUGGGAUAACUUCGGGAAACCGUAGCUAAUACCGGAUAAUAUUUUGAACCGCAUGGUUCAAAAGUGAAAGACGGUCUUGCUGUCACUUAUAGAUGGAUCCGCGCUGCAUUAGCUAGUUGGUAAGGUAACGGCUUACCAAGGCAACGAUGCAUAGCCGACCUGAGAGGGUGAUCGGCCACACUGGAACUGAGACACGGUCCAGACUCCUACGGGAGGCAGCAGUAGGGAAUCUUCCACAAUGGGCGAAAGCCUGACGGAGCCACGCCGCGUGAGUGAUGAAGGUCUUCGGAUCGUAAAACUCUGUUAUUAGGGAAGAACAUAUGUGUAAGUAACUGUGCACAUCUUGACGGUACCUAAUCAGAAAGCCCCGGCUAACUACGUG
rnacentral:rRNA from 1 species